rnacentral:lncRNA from 10 species
UAAAAAUAUUCUCAGAAAACUAAAGGAAUACAACAUGUAUCAGGUAGGAGAGACCACUUUACGGCUUUCACCAUUCACAUUCCUCUUGGAGUAUUUUGCCGCCUUUGAUGACCUGUCAUUCUGCAUAGAGAAGAAUAUAACAUGGGGAAAAGGAUUCUGAAGGUGAAGUGACAGAAGAAAAUUUAAAUCUACAAAUGGCACUAAAAGGAGAAACAUUAAAAAAUAAAUUCCUUGAUAAAAAGAAGAAAAAUGGAGGACAAGAACUUCCAGACCACAAAUGGAAAAAAUGGCCAGAUUUCGAACUUGUUGACACAAGACUUUCUAAAGAAUUCUUUCCUUCAAUCUUCAAAUCCUAAAAUAUUCAAAAUGGUAAUUGCUUAAUCAGUCUCAGAGCAAAACCGUUGGCUUAUGGAGGGUAAAUGGAUAGCACGAAUAAUAAGUUAUUGAUUUUGGAAGCCACUGAGAUUUGGGGGUUAUUUGUUAUUAUAGCAUAACUUUGCAUAUCCUGAUUGUAUUGGGCCUCUAAAAUCACGUUGUAGAAG